AAGCCAUGAUAUGGGCAAGCUCGCAUAAGUUCCUUGUAUCUCUCCCAAGCAUAGAAUAAAGAUUCUCCAUCAUUCUGAGUGAAUCUGGUAAGGUGGUUCCUUAGAAC